UUUUCACAGCAUUUACAAUUUUGAUACGAAGAUGGUAAUACGACACGAACCUACACAAAGUUAACAGAUUUUGUGUUUGACCUUAACAUAUUUCGUGUCUAAACAGGUCGACACGAUAAGACGUGAAGUCAGAAGGGGUAAAGGUUAACCAAUAUUUUGAAAUCAUAUUAUCCAAUAUUUUGAAAUCCUUUUUUUCCAAUCUCGCUCCAUACGACCAAUGUAACCAAACCCUAGAUUUUCUUCAUCGCCGUCGCCGCUCAUCUCUUCAAUCGGACAUAACUAAUCAAUUCACCUGAUUCGCCUCUCAUCGGAUAUCACUUUCCGGCACUUCAUCGGACAUCACUUCGACAACAUCGGACAUCUCUUCAAUCGCCUCUCAACUCUUCGACAUCACUUCGACAUCAUCCGGCAUCACCAUGAGUCGACGAUCAUUGUCCAUGUGGGUGUAAAUGGAUGCGAAUCCGUGGUUUGAGAGGGACCUUGUGGAUCAAAUUCUAGAUGGAUUGUUUUGUGUGAAUUUAUUGACCGUGAUUUCUCUGUUUAAAGAUUGUGGCAGUUUAUUCAAUGGCCGAGAAAAAAAAGGGACGAUGCAGCACAGGUGUCUGAGCCCAAAACAGUGAUCCCAAUAUCCCUUUUUUACAGACGAAACAUGGUUGUUGUACUUUCUGGUGAUCCUCUAUUCUUUUCUAAAGAUUCUAAUUUAGGGAAAUCAUUCAUGCAGAGACUGUGUGAAUUAAAUUGUUACAAAGAUGGUAACAAAAAUUAUGUGACUAAACUGGUUCGAAACUAUCGGUCCCACAAACAUAUAUUGUCACAAGUGUAGUUUUUAUUUUCUUAUCAAUAAUUUAGAAUCCAACAAACAUGGAUGUUGUCGUGAUUUCUUUGUUUAAAGAUUUGUAUUAGAACUUCAAUCUACAUGACAAGGUGUAGUUUCUAUUUUCUUAUCAAUGAAUAAGAAUCCAACAAGCACGAGUGUUGUUGUCGUGA